rnacentral:misc_RNA from 1 species
AAACGACAUUCGUCAAACAGUCGAGCUGCAGAACCUAAGGCCGGCGACGCCCUACGCAGUUCGCGUUGCCACCGCUAACGAAGUGGGCGUGAGUCGAUACACGGCACCCGUACACUUCACCACUCAUGAAGAAGCUCCAUCAACCCCACCGAUCAAUGUCCAUGUGGAACAGACAGAAAAUCCAGGAGAGUUAUAUGUAACGUGGCUUUCUCCGCCUAAAGAUAGCCAUAACGGCAUCAUUACAGGGUACCACAUCAAGGCUGUGCCACAGAAUGUGAGAUC